rnacentral:rRNA from 1 species
AUGAAUCAAUCCUUUCCUGCUGGUUCAUUUUUAACUGAUCGAUUGCCUCUGUUUUUCUUAACUCAAUAUUUUAUCUGUCAAGGGGGUUGUUUGUUCACCUUUUCCUUCAUUGUACCAUCCUUUUGCUAUGGGUCUAUCUUCUCCCCACUGUUUUACCAACGGCAGACAAGGACUGAUGCGGUAAAACAUGGAGCUCAGUUUUUUUAUAACAAACACAAAAUAUGCAACAUGAAACAUUCUUUGAUAUACUGUAACUUGGACUACUCUGGAAACAACAAAUGGAACAGCAUCUUAACUAGAGUUGAUUUUUUGUUAUAUUUUAAGCUACACAGCCUCUGUAAAACUUUGCUUUGUUGUGCCAUUUAA